AGAAAAACAAGCUCAGGGCUCCCACUGAUUCUACUUGAUGCUCUCCAGGAACACAUCUUUGAAGACAAAAUGCCUCCAAGAUCCCCAGUACUGUAGCUCUUCUCCUGAAGCAACUAUUUCCAGCCUUGAAAGUUAUCAGCUCAGGAGAGGAAGCACUGCAAGCAGCUCCUGGGCCCUGGGGUAUGGUUGCAGAUUCAUCACCUAGCUACUUGUUUGUGGUGUUAUCAUCUUUUUUUCCCUGACAUAUUUUGGAACUUGACUACAUCUGAUAUAUUUCUCAACAGUAAGUACAGCUACAUAAAGCAUUUAGGAAAAAAA
rnacentral:lncRNA from 1 species